rnacentral:tRNA from 1 species
GGCCGGGAUAGCUCAGUUGGUAGAGCAG